UACGGAGGGUGCAAACGUUGCUCGGAAUCAUUGGGCGUAAAGCGCGUGUAGGCGGCGUGGCAAGUCGGGUGUGAAAGCCCUCAGCUCAACUGAGGAAGUGCGCCCGAAACUGCUGUGCUUGAGUGCCGGAGAGGGUGGCGGAAUUCCCCAAGUAGAGGUGAAAUUCGUAGAUAUGGGGAGGAACACCGGUGGCGAAGGCGGCCACCUGGACGGUAACUGACGCUGAGACGCGAAAGCGUGGGGAGCAAACAGG
rnacentral:rRNA from 1 species